UCCACUGUCGCGUUUUUCUUACGUGCGUAUACGCAUAUUUAAAAGUUGUUUAUAUUAUAAAGUAAUUAAGUGAAUAAAAUGAUUUAGUUUAUAAAAUUUAAAAAGAUUUAAAAUUUUACGUGCGUAUAUGUAUGUAAGAAAAACGCGACAGUGGA